rnacentral:miRNA from 1 species
ACUCCCUCCGUCCUUAAUUAUAAG